GUUCAACGGCCGCGGUAUCCUAACCGUGCAAAGGUAGCAUAAUCACUUGCCCAUUAAUUGUGGGCUAGAAUGAAAGGACCAACGAAAUAAAGACUGUCUCUAUAAGCAAAUUAAAAAUUAAUCUCUAACUGAAGAGUGUUAGAUUAUGUCGAAGGACAAGAAGACCCUAUAGAGCUUAAUUCUAAUAAAAAUACAUGUUUUAAUAAAAUUCGGUUGGGGCGACCAGGGAAUAAAAAUCAUCCCUAUUCAAAAGAUUUAUAAAUCUUUAAAAUGACCCUUAAACAAGACCAUAAAAACAAGCUACCUUAGGGGUAACAGGCUAAUCCCACUAAAGAGUUCUUAUCAAUAGUGGGGGUUGGCACCUCGAUGUUGGCUUAGGGAAUCUAUACGGCGCAAAAGUCGUAUAAAGAUGGUUUGUUCAACCAAUAGCCCCUACAUGAGCUGAGUUCAGACCGGCGUAAGCCAGGUUAGUUUCUAUCCUCGAUAAAAAUACCUAUUUAUAGUACGAAAGGACCUAAAUAAGGGUAACAGUUACANNNNNNNNNNNNNNNNNNNNNNNNNNNNNNUAGAAGAUUCAUAAACUAUGAUAGUGAGUUGGCAGAAUAGUGCCAC
rnacentral:rRNA from 1 species